GAAUCAGGUGAUGAUGAAACAAAACUGCAACAAUAUGAUUGAAAAUUUUCCAUGAUUCAUUUUUAUUUAAGUCUCUGAUGAUU